CGAGAUUUUAGAUGAUUGUAACUUCCAUGAGUCUGUACACCUUGAUAGUUUUGAUGUUGACCGAACUUUGUCUUUGGUUCCACCAGAUGGUGAAUUUCCUAUCAUGAAUUAUCGUAUAACUCAACCAUUUAAGCCACCCUUUCGUAUUAACGCAUUGAUUGAAGAAACAGGAUCACUCAAGGCUGAAGUGACCAUUAAAGUGCGAGCUGAAUUCAACUCAAGCAUCAAUGCUAACACUGUUCUUGUACAGAUGCCACUUCCAACAUUUACAGCUCGGUAUUUAAAUUUUCUUUCU